CAACCGCCCGAGGAGCCGCCGGGUAGUGUUCCCAUGCGGAGGGAGGGAUCUUUCAGGAAAGUCCCUCUGUCACCACUUGGGCUGCACUGGACUCCGGGCCCCGUGGCAGGUGGCAGCCGAGUUAAGCCAACGGUGGGCAGCGGGGCCUCCCCCCGCCCAGGCUGCACAGGAAAAUGCCAUUCGUUAGGCCGGAGAAAAACAGGGAGAGGGAUGUCCCCAGUGAUGGAUUAUUACUUCAUCUGAUGCUAGGGAUUGUGGAGCUUGGGACAUGGGACCCUUCACACAGCAGACCUUAAACCCCAAGGAGCCCUCCGAAGGCCGGGCCACGCGCGGGAGGGGGUGACUGCCAAGUUCACCCCCACCUCGAAGCAUUCACAUUGUAAAAGAUCAUAAAACCCUGAACUGGCCCUACAAAACCCAAACACAGCUGCAGGCCAAUCUGGCACCCACGCUGCCCUCCCCGCCCGCUCUUCGGUUAAGCAGAGAUUAUAAAGAUCAUCAAAGCCUUGGAAAUCCUGCUGCUGGUUUGAAAAACCCUGCCUGCUGACUUUAUGACUAAAUAAUUUCUGACUGGGUCAAAAUGACACUUUCUCAUCCCCAGAAGUUUGUAAACAUUGUGCUAUCAUGUUCUGGCUUUGAAUAUUGCUGAGAAAUCUAAGGCAACCCUAAUUUUGCUCCUUACGGGGCCAGUCUGUCUACCCCAUUUGGAGCUCCAACGUGUUGGAGUCGCUUUGGAGCCACUGACUUUAGUGGGUAAGAUCCACUUGCCCACCGAGGGCACUUGGGAGGCGCGUGAGGGAGGGCCGGCCGUCCUACUGAGGGGACCUCUGACUUCUCCCUUGAAGUCCCGUGAACACCUUGCACCUGUGCCCGCCCGCCAGCCGUGGGGACAUCCCCUCCGGUCACCGCCUCCCCCGCCCAGGGACCCGGAAGGCCAGGGCCUUGGAAGCCCUGCCUGCCUCGGGCCAGGCCCCGCAGGGAGCAGAGCCGGCGACACCCGAGGAUCUCCUGUACUUUUCCAGGGCUGACCACGUGCCCCCUCUGCUUGCUGCUACCCGACUGGUGACACCAGUCCCCGUCCUCAGAGUGCUCAGUGCCGCUCCUGCUGAGCGAGUGCGAAGAAAGGGGCUACAGCACAACCCCUCGCACCAUCCUUAGCCAUCACCUUAGAAGUUUAGGCCCUAAAGUUGUCCUUUGUUCAUUCAUGCAUUGUUGCCUUUUUUUAAGAUCAUUUAAUCUGGCUUUGUUUGGCCAUUUGUAUUCAGAGGUCACUGUGCCCUUCUGUUUUCAAACCUUAUAAACUUAUAAUAAUAGGCAUACAGAAAAUAUCUGGAGAAAUAUUGCCACUACACAAUUUGUUAAAAGUAAACAUUGUUGGGGGCACCUGGGGAGCUCAGGGGUUGAGCGUCUGCCUUGGGCCCAGGGCGUGAUCCUGGGUCCCGGGAUCGAGUCCCGCAUCGAGCUCCCUGCAUGGAGCCUGCUUCUCCCUCUGC